rnacentral:rRNA from 1 species
AACGAACGCUGGCGGCAUGCCUAACACAUGCAAGUCGAACGAAGCCUUCGGGCUUAGUGGCGCACGGGUGCGUAACGCGUGGGAAUCUGCCCUUAGGUACGGAAUAACUCAGGGAAACUUGUGCUAAUACCGUAUGAUGUCGAGAGACCAAAGAUUUAUCGCCUAGGGAUGAGCCCGCGUAGGAUUAGCUAGUUGGUGGGGUAAAGGCCUACCAAGGCGACGAUCCUUAGCUGGUCUGAGAGGAUGAUCAGCCACACUGGGACUGAGACACGGCCCAGACUCCUACGGGAGGCAGCAGUGGGGAAUAUUGGACAAUGGGCGAAAGCCUGAUCCAGCAAUGCCGCGUGAGUGAAGAAGGCCUUCGGGUUGUAAAG